CCUACGGGAGGCAGCAGUGAGGAAUAUUGGUCAAUGGCCGGGAGGCUGAACCAGCCAAGUCGCGUGAGGGAAGACGGCCCUACGGGUUGUAAACCUCUUUUGUCAGGGAGCAAAGUGCGGUUCGGGACCUGCUGUGUGAGUACCUUAAGAAAAAGCAUCGGCUAACUCCGUGCCAGCAGCCGCGGUAAUACGGAGGAUGCGAGCGUUAUCCGGAUUUAUUGGGUUUAAAGGGUGCGAGGGCGGAGGAACAAGUCAGUGGUAAAAUCGGGGGGCCAAACCCCGCUCCGCCGUUGAAACUGUGUGUCUUGAGUGCGCGAAGGGUAGGCGGAAUGCGUGGUGUAGCGGUGAAAUGCAUAGAUAUCACGCAGAACUCCGAUCGCGAAGGCAGCCUACCGGCGCGCAACUGACGCUCAUGCACGAAAGCGUGGGUAUCGAACAGGAUUAGAUACCCUUGUAGUC
rnacentral:rRNA from 1 species